rnacentral:misc_RNA from 1 species
AGCACUCAACCGUUGAAAGUGUUACCACACCUUAAAAAUUUCAGUGUUAGUCAGAGUCCGAAUCGGAAUCUGUUGAAUUUUUCGAAAUAAACAAAGCCAAACUACGAUUGACCAAAAACCCAAAGACUACUGGAUCCUCACCAAUAAAAUACCACAAAAAAUACGCAAAAUUAAAUGAAGUGAAUAUAAAACUAAAACCACCCUGGGCCCUACCAUUGCCCAGGGUAGAAAAUCCUAGAGAACUUUCAUUGUGUUUUGUGCCAGGGCCAGAGCCCUAAUGAAAUUAAAGAUCUUUCAAUAAUGGCACUGCAGGAACCUAUAUACCUUUUAUUAAGCAAUGGAUCCCUCUUUUUUUGAAGAAAAUUCAGAAAAAUCAAGUAAGCAAAUGAUUGCGUUUUAUGGGGCCUGCCAACUCGAUCCAAAACGAUGCUUUUGAGGUUAUGUAUGUGUGCCGCAGUAAGGCUUAGGCAAAAUCAAUUUUGCAAUAUAACUUUGAGUAAAACUUAAAUUGAAUCAACAAAGGAAACGCAAAGGAACGGAAAGGAAGAUGAUGCCUGGUCCUGGUCCUGGUCCCCGGUGUUCUCCUGGCAUUCU